AUGGAAGUCAGACAGCAGAGAUGGGGUCAUGUGUCUGAAGGAAGAGCGGCUGAGAGCAGGCUCAGUGUAGGAACCACUGUCCUUGGUCCUGAAUUCAAACGUCCUGUCCGAUGGAAUGCUGACGACUCCAACUCCGGGGGAACUCCCAGGAAAGGCAUGUCCACCCCGAAGGAAGGGCAGAGAUGGCAGACAAUGAGGGAGGUCCAAAGAGGUCUGUGCCACCCAAAGUCUAUAUUGGAUGCAACUUGAUCUUGAUUGGUCAACUGGCUUCUUUAUUCUGCAUUGCAAAUCUGGAGGGGUAGGAUUUCUGGUUGGUUGUUUUGUCAACAUGACAUGCACUUGAACUGUUUGGAAAGGGGGAACCGCAAUUUAGAAAAUGUGCCCACCAGAUCAAUCUGUGGACAAGCCCAUGGACCUUCUUCUUGAUUGACAUAAGAGGACCCAGUCCAUUGUAGGUGGGGCUAAUUCUGGGCAGAUGUUUCUGGAUGGUAUAAGAGGAAAGGCUGAGCAGCCAUGAGGAACAAGCCAGUAAGCAGCAUUUCUCCAGUCUACGUAACCUCUGGCUUCAGCUCCUGCCUCCAGAUUCUGACCUUGAGUUCCCACAUUGACUUCCCUACAUAAUGGACUGCCAGCUGUAAGAUGAAGUAAACCCUUUCCAAGUUGCUUUUGGUCACAGACUUUUAUCACAGCAAUAGAAACCCCAACUGAGACAGGCGAACUGUACCAUUCCUUGUAUUACUGACCAAUGUGACCCAGGUCCAUGUGACAGUCACUGCCUUGUGAUCUGUGAGUGCUGGUUUGUUUUCUGUCACUGAAAUCUGAACAACAGUUCUUUAUCAUGAACAGAGAUGUUGGAGCAUCUAGACUCAUCUGCUUAUUUCAGGUCAUUUGCUCAACCAAAUAUGAUAUUUACAAGAGUGGUUUCCUGGUACCCUUAGG
rnacentral:lncRNA from 1 species